rnacentral:rRNA from 1 species
CACGUAGUUAGCCGGUGCUUAUUCUUCAGGUACCGUCAUUAGCUCAGGAUAUUAGCCCAAACCGUUUCUUCCCUGACAAAAGAGCUUUACAACCCGAAGGCCUUCUUCACUCACGCGGCAUUGCUGGAUCAGGCUUUCGCCCAUUGUCCAAAAUUCCCCACUGCUGCCUCCCGUAGGAGUCUGGACCGUGUCUCAGUUCCAGUGUGGCUGGUCGUCCUCUCAGACCAGCUACUGAUCGUGGCCUUGGUGAGCCUUUACCUCACCAACUAGCUAAUCAGAUAUCGGCCGCUCCAGGAGCACAAGGUCCGAAGAUCCCCUGCUUUCAUCCUUAGAUCGUAUGCGGUAUUAGCGUAACUUUCGCUACGUUAUCCCCCAUCUUGGGUACGUUCCGAUAUAUUACUCACCCGUUCGCCACUCGCCGCCAGGUUGCCCCGCGCUGCCGUUCGACUUGCAUGUGUAAAGCAUGCCGCCAGCGUUCAAUCUGAGCCAGGAUCAAA